AGGGAGAGGCCAGAUCCUGGGCUGUGUCCCCGGUGCCCAGUGCUCCCGGGCCUGCACUGUUGGAUUCGUGCUCCCGGCCGGGCAGCCCCCU
rfam:Canis lupus familiaris chromosome X, whole genome shotgun sequence.